rnacentral:rRNA from 1 species
UACGGGGGGGGCAAGCGUUGUUCGGAAUUACUGGGCGUAAAGGCUCGUAGGCGGCCAACUAAGUCAGACGUGAAAUCCCUCAGCUUAACCGGGGAACUGCAUCUGAUACUGGAUGGCUUGAGUUCGGGAGAGGGAUGCGGAAUUCCAGGUGUAGCGGUGAAAUGACGUAGAGUAUCUGGAGGAACACCGGUGGCGAAGGCGGCAUCCUGGACCGACAUUGACGCUGAGGCGCGAAAGCCAGGGGAGCAACGGG